AUUACCAGAAACUAUAGGAGCAUAACGACUGCUGGUGUAGCCUAUUACCAGAAACUAUAGGAGCAUAACGACUGCUGCUGUAGCCUAUUACCAGAAACUAUAGGAGCAUAACGACUGCUGGUGUAGCCUAUUACCAGAAACUAUAGGAGCAUAACGACUGCUGGUGUAGCCUAUUAACAGAAACUAUAGGAGCAUAACGACUGCUGGUGUAGCCUAUUACCAGAAACUAUUGGAGCAUAACGACUGCUGGUGUAGCCUAUUACCAGAAACUACAGGAGCAUAACGACUGCUGGUGUAGCCUAUUACCAGAAACUACAGGAGCAUAACGACUGCUGGAAUAGCCUAUUACCAGAAACUAUAGGAGCAUAACGACUGCUGGUGUAACCUAUUACCAGAAACUAUAGGAGCAUAACGACUGGUGGUGUAGUCUAUUACCAGAAACUAUAGGACCAUAACAUCAGAAUUUACGAAGGCCAGCAGCAGCGGAAGGAGUAGGCUAAGGAAGAGUUUUUUUCUGAUGGUUAGGCUAUCUUAAUCUCUGGCUCCCUCGAGUCAUUUGUGUGUCUUAAUUAUUUAAUAAGUCCCAAAAUGGAUGUAACAACCGCUGAUUGCCCCUUUAAGAGAACAUAUUGGGCUAAGCUAAUAGGAGAUAUUGAGGACUACAGUAUUUCAGGCAUUGUCAUUGGAUGCAUUUGAUCAAUUGUUAACGUUUUGUUGAUGGUCCACUCUUGCUGUUCUACACGUUACAGUGUAGCUUUACUGCACCUUUACUGCAUAUUGGUUCAACGACUGCAGAGACGGUACUUACUGGUGUUAAACAGAUCUCCAACCUCCUUUUCUUCCUCCAAUGUGACAGUAAUCUCCCCCUCCUCCUCUUUCACUCCAAAAACGGAAUCCUCCUCUUUCUCUUCCUCUUCUUUUACUGUAACAUCCUCCUCCUCUUUCACUCUGAACGCGUCUUCCUCUUCUUUCACUGAAACGUCUUUCUCUUCUUCUUUCACGGUAACAGCCUCACCCUCUACUUGUUUUGUAUUGUAACGUCCUUCUCUUCCUCCUCCUCUUUCACGAGAACGUCUUUCUCCAUCCAGCAGACCUCCUCUUCUUUAGCAGGAGGAGAGUAGUUUAGUGAACUCAUGGUCGGAGAUGUUAGCUAGCUAGCAUAAAAAAAACAAAAAAUAAAUAAAUAAUAAUAAUAAUAAUAAUAAAUAGCUAGCUAGCAUUAGCGACUAGCUUAGUUCUAAGCAAACCAGCUAGCUGACAAACAACGUAAAUAUAUAAUUAAAUGGGCCAACAAGUACAUACAACAGAAGUGUGUUUAAUACACAGCGACUAACAUACACCAAAACAGUGUAAAGAGCGUGAAUGUUGUAGCUAUGUUUGCUAGAAAGCUACCGAGGUGUCUGACUAGCUGUUGUUG
rnacentral:lncRNA from 1 species